rnacentral:tRNA from 1 species
AUCGCCCUAGUAUAAGCCGUACAGGUGACCUCCACUCACACAGUCCCGAUCCCUCGGGGGGCAAUA